AGGCGCGUAGCUCAAUCGGCAGAGCGGCGGGCUCAUAACCCGCGGGGCGCCGGUUCGAACCCGGCCGCGCCUACCA
rnacentral:tRNA from 1 species